rnacentral:rRNA from 1 species
UACGAAGGGUGCAAGCGUUACUCGGAAUUACUGGGCGUAAAGCGUGCGUAGGUGGUUCGUUAAGUCUGUCGUGAAAGCCCCGGGCUCAACCUGGGAAUGGCGAUGGAUACUGGCGGGCUAGAGUGCGGUAGAGGGUGGUGGAAUUCCCGGUGUAGCAGUGAAAUGCGUAGAGAUCGGCAGGAACAUCAGUUGCGAAGGCGGCCACCUGGACCAGCACUGACACUGAGGCACGAAAGCGUGGGGAGCAAACAGG